CAACAAGAAGAAGCCGAUUGGGCGAAGGAGGGAGUGAGACAGGAAUCCAUUCCUUGAGUCCUUUCCCGAACCGAACAAGCUUCUUUUAGCCAUUCUUAAGACCAAGGAUGUUUGUUUAACCACCUUGUCAAAUAUAAACAUUUUAUCGUGAUGGGCAGAUUGGCGAACACUUUGAAAUCAAGGCUCUGUUGAGUGUCCGAGCCGAACCAGUGACCACCGAGCAGCUGUCACCCCGGAAGGCCGCCGUUGCUGCUUGCCGCUUGCCUCACCUGGUGGGGAUUUAACUUUCUCUCUUUUCUGAACGCAUGGAGAGAACUAGCACGUAGCGGACCCGGUUCCAGCCUCUGGUAAAACUUACUGUCAUCCGGUAAGAAUGGAUUCCUCCUUGGGGAUCGGCAACGAGGAGUGCUUGGCAACUGUAAGAGGUCUGGAGCUGAGGGCGGACCAGAAGGAGCCCAGACUGCUGUCACUAAUUGAACGCGGUGGCGAGUUUAUUCUGGGUGUGCUUGCCACCCCUGAUGCUGUCGUAGCUCGUCCGGUGGCCCAGCUGUCCAUACCCAUCAAUGGUAAAUUUGAGAUUGUGAAAGAGGCAGAGGAGGCACUUCUGAUUGACUUCUCUCUAGCUUCUGGGCUCAGGAUACGAAUAAAAGGAGAUAAAGCUCCAGAGCUCCUGUUGGAACUCCAGGAUGAUGAGCGCACUCAGACUUUCCUCACACAGGUGAUAAGCGCUCAACAACAAGUUAAAUUGAAUUCCUCCAAGCCCAAAGUGAUGGAUCCUGUUACACAACCACCCCAGAGAGGACACAAUGCUGCCAACUGUGUGGACUCUGGAGCCAACCUGCCCGGUACGACCAGUGCACUGCCCCCUACCCUCAAUAGAAGCACAUCCACACAUCGAACUGAUGCAGCUCAGUCACUUGCCUCAGACUUUGGCUUUGAGGACAACUUCAAUCACACCUUGAAGGUGGAGGAGAAGAAGAACCACCAGAACAGGAUAGUGGCCUCAAGGGAUCCUCCACCUGUCCCUCCUCUUCCUCCCCGCAAAGCCUCCUUCACACCGUCUUAUCAGCUGCCUGCUACCCCCCUCCCUAAAGAAAGAGUUGUCUCCUCUCAAGCCAAAGACAACUCAUCCAGUGGCGUCAGCAGACCAGAUAGUUUUCAAUCGAGCUUUGAGCGAGACAGGCCACCGUCUUGGUGCGACAGUCCCACCACAAACACGAUGAGGCAAGCCAUGUUCUCCAGCCAAGCGGGACAGAGAGAAUACCUCAUCAAACACCGCCUGGGAAAGAAGGAAAACGAAUACGUGGACAUCCAGAACUUCAGGUUCUUCACUGGUACGUGGAAUGUGAAUGGGCAGUCUCCAGACAGCAGCCUUGAGUCGUGGCUGUCUUGUGACGCAGAACCCCCAGAUAUGUAUGCCGUGGGUUUCCAAGAGUUGGACCUGAGCACUGAAGCUUUCUUCUACAUGGACUCCUCCAAGGAGCAACUGUGGGUGGAGGCCGUUGAGAGAGGCCUACACCCUAAAGCACAAUAUAAGAGGGUUCGCAUCAUAAGACUGGUUGGCAUGAUGCUGGUGGUCUUUGUCAAUAAGAUACACAAGAAUAAUGUGAAAGAAGUGGCAGCAGAACACGUCGGCACAGGAAUCAUGGGCAAAAUGGGGAACAAAGGAGGGGUGGCUGUGAGGUUUGUGUUUCACAACACUAGCUUCUGUAUUGUCAACUCGCACCUUGCGGCACAUGUUGAAGACUUUGAGCGACGCAACCAGGACUACAAAGACAUUUGUGCCCGCAUGACCUUCCACCUACUGGACCACCCCCCUCUGAGUAUUCACAAGCAUGAUGUGGUAAUCUGGUUUGGAGAUUUGAACUAUCGCCUCUUCAUGUAUGACGCUGCUGAGGUCAAACACCUCAUUUCCCAGAAUGAGCUGAAAAAGCUUCAGGAAUUUGAUCAGCUGAACAUUCAGAGGCAGACCAAAAGAGCCUUCACUGACUUCAUGGAAGGAGAUAUCAACUUCAUCCCUACGUACAAGUACGAUACCAGAACGGAUCGUUGGGACUCAAGCGGGAAAUGUCGCGUUCCAGCGUGGUGUGACAGGAUCCUGUGGCGGGGCAACAAUGUCAAGCAGCUGAAGUACCGCAGUCACAUGGAGCUGCAAACCAGUGACCACAAACCAGUCAGCUCCAUCUUCAAGAUAGGGGUUAAGGUGGUCAAUGAGCAGCGCCACAAAAGGGUCUUUGAGGAGAUUGUUCGUGCCAUGGACAGAAUGGAGAACGAUUUUCUUCCAUCAGUAUCUCUCAGCAGGAGAGAGUUCACGUUUGAGAACGUGAAGUUCCGGCAGCUCGUGAGAGAGCGUUUACUCAUAAAGAAUGACGGGCAGGUCCCCUGUCACUUUGCUUUCAUCCCCAAACUCAACGACUCACAGUACUGCAAGUCAUGGCUCCGUGCCGAGCCUAGCGAGGGAUUCUUGGAACCAAAUGAGACCCUGGAGAUCUAUCUGGAGGUCUACGUCAGUAAAGACUCAGUCACGCUGCUCAACUCCGGCGAGGACUCCAUUGAAGACAUCCUGGUGCUCCACCUGGACCGCGGCAAGGACUACUUCAUCACCAUUUCCGGCAACUACAUGCCCAGCUGCUUUGGCACCUCGCUGGAGACCCUGUGUCGGAUGAAGAAACCCAUUAGAGAGAUCCCUAUCACCAAACUCAUUGACUUGGGCGAGGACAGCUUCACAGAGAAGGAACGGUCAAAGAUGAACUUCCUCAUGGGAGAUGGUACAAGCACAGAGGACAAACCUCUGAAAAUCCCCAAGGAGGUGUGGAUCCUAGUCAACCAUCUUUUCACCAAGGCUUGUGAUCAGGAGGACCUGUUCCAAACGCCAGGAUUAAAGGAGGAGCUCCAGGCCAUCAUUGACAGUCUGGACACCAGCAUCCCAGACACCAUCCCUGGCUGCAACCACUCUGUGGCAGAGGCUCUACUGAUCUUCUUAGAGGCCUUGCCAGAGCCGGUCGUGUGCUACGAGCUCUACCAACGCUGCCUGGACUGUGCCCAUGACAGCCGCCUAUGCAAACAGUUGAUCUCCCAGCUGCCCCGAGCACACCGUAACGUGUUCCGCUACUUGAUGGCUUUCCUGAAGGAGCUGCUCAAGCACGCGCACAACAACAACCUAACAGCCGGCCUCAUUGCCACCCUCUUUGCCAGCCUUCUUAUCCGACCUCCUCCCAGCAUGGCGAGCCGGCAGACAGCCCAUGACCGGCAGAAAGCCAUCGACUUUGUUCUGGGUUUCCUGAUGGCGGGAGAUGAAGAGUAACUCAACGUGGCAUGCAUCCCUCUUGGUUUGUUACAGUGUCUCCAUAGGAGCCAAAGAAGACAUUUUUCAUCCGUUGGAAACUGUUCACAUACUCUCAUGUUCAAGAUCCCCAAGGUCCUUGUUGGCCUGCAUUUGACCUUUAAUGCUUUUACCAAGCGUUCAUACACAAACCAAUUUGGCCACUUGGCUGGAUUUCCAAGCACUUUGGAGCGCUGUAAGGCGGUAAGGACCUGCGCCUCCAGACCAGAUUUGUCGUCCUUCCUCUCCAACCCAGAAUGAACUCAAUCUGCACCAAAGAGAGCGGCGCAGAUGUGCAAACACUAUGUGUCAUUGGGUUAUUUUUCUAGUUGACCUCUCAUAGAAGUCUUUACUUUUGAUCAAUUGUCUGGUUUAGUUGAAGGGGUUCAGACACCUGCCAGAUCUACCUACCUUAUGAAUGCAUUUCCAUUUCAACAUGACUGUUUGCACCAGAUGACAUAGAGCAGUGUUUCCCAGCCUUUAUGGAGCCAAAGCACACAUUUUACACUAGAAAAGUCUCAUUGCACACCAAGCAAAGAUCUUGCGUGAAUGGCAGCAGUUGGAUACGCAGGUUAAUUAUGUUCUGCCACCUAGUGGAAAAGCAAUGAAUUGCUUUGCUGGUCACCACACGUCACUGGCAUAGAUAUUGUAAAUAAACAAAUGUUAUGUCUAGUAAAUAGUUAUUUUUUGACCAAUUCAUUGAAAUUGGAAUGGAAUAUGAUGGUGUGCUGCAGCACAUUGGUUGAGAAUCACUGACGCAGACAACAUUUGCUCUUGAAUGUUGCCUGUGUUUUGUUUUUUGGGUUUUUUUUGGGAGCCUCACAUCAAGUUUGUCCUGUUCCUCCGGGCUUAUGACACAUGUCUUUUAAUUGAUACACUGACUUCCUGCUUCAACAGUACAACCUGCUGUCCUCAAGGCUGUAGAUAGUGAAUGUUGAUCUUUGGCGUGGUCCUUUGCUGUCACCAAUGGUACUAUCUCUAUUGGGGGUCUUUUGUUCAGACACCUCAUCUAAACACUCCUAUGAGUUAUAGUUUUGCCUUCCUGCCAGUCUGACACAGUUUCUGUGAGAAUGAUGCAACAUAUUUGGGAUCAGGUUUUGCAAGGUUACUUUGGGGGUUGCAGGAUGUGUUUACUUUUGUGCUAUAUUUCAUAUGCCAAUCAGAGUUGCAUGAAUGGAAAAAAACACGUCCUUUCAUGAUUGGUCUGCUUGUAAGUCCUCAGUCACGCUGAUACAGUUUUUGCCUUGUGAUGCUCACUGUACCUUCAUCUUAAAUGUGAGCACAUGAUGCAACUGCUGACAAUCACGCACGCAGGCCUUAUGGUGCUCUGUUUUUUGUUUUCAUUCACGUUCAGCUUAAUGCAACUCACAGCCUGUUCCACUCCUCAUUUUCUGCUCUUAUAAAUUCCACAAUCUCGCCUGAAAUCCAAACCUCAGUGCUGUCCCAAGCCAGUGAAUCAACUGUAUUUAUGUGAAUUCUAGUGCAGACACACAAGUGGUCACCAUGUGCUCCUUAAUGAAGGAUCCUAACCGCCACCAUGGCCCCACCUUAACACUUGUGUUGCCCUACUGGCAGUUGGAGGAGGACGAGUGGACUCCACAUGCAGUAAUGUACACCUCCAUGAGGUCAGUGCCCAACCAAACCUCACAAGCACUCGAGUAAUGAAGUUUUCAAAUGACAUUAAAUUAGUGGCAAAAUCCGUCUACAUAAAAACCAUCAUCGUCACGUAUAAAGACCACUCUCCUUGCGCUUGUGGUUUCAGAAUAACAGCUUGUUGCUGUCCCCAUGUGUCUCAAUA